rnacentral:rRNA from 1 species
UACGAAGGGGGCUAGCGUUGCUCGGAAUCACUGGGCGUAAAGCGCACGUAGGCGGAUCUUUAAGUCAGGGGUGAAAUCCCAAGGCUCAACCUUGGAACUGCCUUUGAUACUGGCGGUCUCGAGUCCGGGAGAGGUGAGUGGAACUGCGAGUGUAGAGGUGAAAUUCGUAGAUAUUCGCAAGAACACCAGUGGCGAAGGCGGCUCACUGGCCCGGUACUGACGCUGAGGUGCGAAAGCGUGGGGAGCAAACAGG